rnacentral:rRNA from 1 species
AAUUUUGGACAAUGGGCGCAAGCCUGAUCCAGCCAUGCCGCGUGAGUGAAGAAGGCCUUCGGGUUGUAAAGCUCUUUCGGACUGACAACAAUCGCUCUGGCUUAUACCCUCCUCGGUUGACGUUACCCGCAUAACAAGCCCCAGCUAACUACGUGCCAGCCACCGCGGUAAUACGUAGGGUGCGAGCGUUAAUCGGAAUUCCUGGGCGUAAAGCGUGCGCAGGCGGUUGACUAAGACAGGCGUGAAAUCCCCGGGCUUAACCUGGGAACUGCGCUUGUGACUGGUCAGCUAGAGUACGGCAGAGGGGGGUGGAAUUCCACGUGUAGCAGUGAAAUGCGUAGAGAUGUGGAGGAACACCGAUGGCGAAGGCAGCCCCCUGGGCCGAUACUGACGCUCAUGCACGAAAGCGUGGGUAGCAAACAGG